GAGAUAUCAUCAUUUUUCUUCAGCAAAAACGCCAUGGGAGGUCUGAAAGCUGCUGGUUUUUCAUACUUUGACAUAUGUACGGGUAUGGGGUAUUACAAACCAGAAGAAACGCGACGCUCGUUGUGCCGUCUGUUGGGGCAUGGACCUCGCUUCCUUUUCAACCCCUCAAAUCAAACGUAUCCUCAGAGCUUCUUCUCUCGGACAAGAUGUUUUCGAUGCUUUAAUAUUGGUUAAGGUACUUAAGGAAGUGCAAGUUUUAUAAUUCUGAAGUUUCUUAGUUGUUCAUUGGAAAAUAUGUUAUUGUAGACAAGGUGUUUGUGUUUUGGUUGUAAAGACUAGGGCUAAUAUGUAACAACCCGACUUCCAAUGGUAUCGAAAAUUACGGUUCUGAAAUGUCAUUUUCGUAAAUUGUGUUAAUAGAUAUUAAUAUUUAAUAUUUAUGAGACCAUUAUGAAAAUAUAUUAAAGUUUGAUUUAGUAA